rnacentral:misc_RNA from 1 species
UCCUUCUUAUCGAAGGCAGUUUUCGAAGAGUGCAUCCCUUGCGGGAUUAGCAACAUCGAAUAGGGGUUGCGCUCGUUGCGGGACUUAACCCAACAUCUCACGACACGAGCUGACGACAACCAUGCAGCACCUCUGCGGACUCCCUUGCGGGUCAGCCACUGUUUCCAACAGCUUACCAUCCGUAGUUCAAGCCCAGGUAAGGUUCUUCGCGUUGCGUCGAAUUGAACCACAUGCUCCACCGCUUGUGCGGGCCCCCGUCAAUUCCUUUGAGUUUCAGACUUGCGACCGUACUCCCCAGGCGGGAUACUUAAUGCGUUAGCUUCGCCACAGGGGGAUUUAACACCCCCCACAGCAAGUAUCCAUCGUUUGCGGCGUGGACUAC